rnacentral:rRNA from 1 species
UACGGAGGAUGCAAGCGUUAUCCGGAAUGAUUGGGCGUAAAGCGUCCGCAGGUGGCAAUGUAAGUCUGCUGUCAAAGCGUCUGGCUCAACCAGAUAAAGGCAGUGGAAACUACAUAGCUAGAGUAAGGUAGGGGUAGAGGGAAUUCCUGGUGUAGCGGUGAAAUGCGUAGAGAUCAGGAAGAACGCCGGUGGCGAAGGCGCUCUGCUAGGCCGCAACUGACACUGAGGGACGAAAGCUAGGGGAGCGAAUGGG